rnacentral:rRNA from 1 species
GGCGGCAGGCCUAACACAUGCAAGUCGGACGAGAAGGUACCUUCGGGUACUGGAGAGUGGCGCACGGGUGAGUAACGCGUGGGGACCUACCUCUUAGUGGGGGAUAACGGUUGGAAACGACCGCUAAUACCGCAUACGCCCUUCGGGGGAAAGAUUUAUCGCUAAGAGAUGGACCCGCGUUGGAUUAGAUAGUUGGUGAGGUAACUGGCUCACCAAGUCAGCGAUCCAUAGCUGGUUUGAGAGGAUGAUCAGCCACACUGGGACUGAGACACGGCCCAGACUCCUACGGGAGGCAGCAGUGGGGAAUAUUGGACAAUGGGGGCAACCCUGAUCCAGCCAUGCCGCGUGAGUGAAGAAGGCCUUCGGGUUGUAAAGCUCUUUCAGAUGCGAAGAUGAUGACGGUAACAUCAGAAGAAGCCCCGGCUAAUUUCGUGCCAGCAGCCCGCGGUAAUACUAAAGGGGCUAGCGUUGUUCGGAUUUACUUGGGCGUAAAGGGCACGCAGGCGGUCUUGCCAGUCAGGGGUGAAAAGCCCGAGGCUCACCUCGGACUGCCUCUGAUCUUGUAAGACUUGAGACUAGGAGAGGGUGGUGGAAUUCCCAGUGUAA